GAUGAACGCUGGCGGCGUGCCUAAUACAUGCAAGUCGAGCGAACAGAUAAGGAGCUUGCUCCUUUGACGUUAGCGGCGGACGGGUGAGUAACACGUGGGUAACCUACCUAUAAGACUGGGAUAACUUCGGGAAACCGGAGCUAAUACCGGAUAACAUUUGGAACCGCAUGGUUCUAAAGUGAAAGAUGGUUUUGCUAUCACUUAUAGAUGGACCCGCGCCGUAUUAGCUAGUUGGUAAGGUAACGGCUUACCAAGGCGACGAUACGUAGCCGACCUGAGAGGGUGAUCGGCCAAACUGGAACUGAGACACGGUCCCGACUCCUACGGGAGGCAGCAGUAGGGAAUCUUCCGCCAAGGGCGAAAGCCUGACGGAGCAACGCCGCGUGAGUGAUGAAGGGUUUCGGCUCGUAAAACUCUGUUAUUAGGGAAGAACAAAUGUGUAAGUAACUGUGCACGUCUUGACGGUACCUAAUCAGAAAGCCACGGCUAACUACGUG
rnacentral:rRNA from 1 species